rnacentral:lncRNA from 1 species
CGCCGGUCAUCGCAUUGGAAGGCUACCCCUGGCUCUCUCGCUGCCCCAGGAAGGUAAGUAACCGAUGUGGGGUAAAAUGUCCGUAAGUGAGACAGGCCCCGCCCCCAACUAUCUGAUUGGAUAUCUCGGCGCCGGUAGCAGCCUCCAUUGGCCAGGACGUCCGUCUAGGAAGGAGUUGACUCCGCCCCGCGCUAGGAGGCUGAACCUUAGCAGUCCUUUUGUGGAAUGUUUACACUAGAGACUGAAGUGCAGAGAGUUCCAGGGCCCGAAACAGGAGGGGGCGCGGAGCUCAGCGGCCGGGAUCCCAUGCCCUGGGACUUGAAAGGGAGAGGCAGAGCACUACCACCGUGGAGGACCCCCUUACCAAAAAAAAAAAAAAAAAAAAAGAGAGAGAGAGAGAAAGAAAGAACCUCAUCCUAUCGAAUUCUUUCUUUACAAUUUACAUUUCCGCACGCUGCCUCCUUGUAAACACAAAUAUCCGGAGCAACCGGAUCCGUACAGCUGAAAGCUGUACGUACAGAAUUAAGCGCUGGAGACCAAAGCCGAAAAAUCGCCCCAGUGGUUGCCAGCCCGCAGUUGGGGUGGCUGCACACUUCUAACACCGACAAUCCCUAAACUUCAGUAUGCAGUUCUAAGAGGGCGGGGAUAAUCAAAAUGAAGGCAGGGCCCUAACAGCCACCGCCCUGGCAAGCCUCCGGAAGGCGGAGCGUGAGGUGUAAGGCAUUUGCGAUCUCCGGGGUAGAUCUUGUAGGCACAUUCGGACUCGAACUGAAGGAGACCAAACAGCCCACGACAUAAAUGAACCUUCA